UCCUCCUUUUUUCCCUUCUCAACACUUCAAAAUUUUAUCCUCAUCCACCCAUCCUCAUCCUUAUCCUCACUCUCUCCUCUCUCGCUCUCUCACCUCUCCCUCACUCUCUCACUCUGUCUCCUCUCUCAUUAUCCUCUCGCGCUCGAGUGUGUGUGGCGAGUGCGGCCGGCGGUGGCCAUGAACAGUGGUGGGCGCGGAUGGCAGCACUGAGCGGCUCGGCAGCGGACGCGGACGGCGGUGGGUGUAGCCCGCGGCACUGAGCUGUUCGGUGGCGGGCGGAUCCACCUCGGCCAGCCUCGCAAUGGGCGGUGGGCGGCCCGGUUGACGGUGAAGGCGGCGGCUCCCUCAACCUCCCCAUGAAGCUUCGAUGGCGGCCUGAAGCGACGACGAUGAUGAGGAGGCGGCCGGGAGGGGCGCCACCGGCCCCGCGCGCACGCCGGCCGGAUCCGCACCGUCCUGGCCAACGACGAUGACGAGGAGGAGGCGGACGGCGCCGCCAGCCCCCCGCGCAUGGAUCUACGCCGUCCCGCUGCCGACAACGAGGAGGCAACGGCGGCCGGGAGCGGCGCCGCCCGCUCCGCGCACACGCGCGCCGGCCGGAUCCACACCGCUGCCGUCGGAUUCUAGGGUUCCUUUUUUUCGAAUUUUUAUUUUUUUGGAAUUUUAUUUUUCCAUGCGGGCGACAUAACCCGACCGCACACGAAAUCCGAUUAUCCCGUGUGGUCUACUUAAACUGACCGCAUGUGAAGAUUAUUUUUUCCGUGCGGUUAGGCUGCCCGUAUGCGGAAAUAUUUAUUUUCACAGACACCAGGGUGUAGGGUGUAGACGGGCAAGACCUCCGCAUGGAAAAAAAACUUUUUGACCGCACGAAAAAAAUCCUUUUAGUAGUAGUGAGCUAGUCAAAGUUGUCUGUUAUUUGAAAACAGAUCAGUGCAAUGCUACACAAUGCUCCAAUUAUAAUGUUAAUUAGAAUGCAUAAGUUUAUACACCCUACCUCCAAUUUUUUGCCACUGCAGGAAAAACAAAGCUAAGAAUACAUCUAGCAACUUUUCUCUGUGGAUGGGAAACGCAAGGGAGCAGAAAAUUAAUGAACAAACUCCAAACGCUGAAAGAUGGACAAGUAACCUGCCAGAUAGCAAACUAGAGAUGACGGGCCAACAGAAAGUUGUUUAGAAUACCUGUUUCAGCUAUUGUUAAGUAGAACAAGCAGAUUCAGGGAACAUUUUCCCAGUUUCAACUUUCAAGUAUAUCUUGGUGCCACACUUGGCUUACAUGCAUACAAUUUGGCGUUAAAUUGUUUGAUUUGCAUCAUGGUAUUUUUUUACGACUUAAUUAUUGGAUUUGAAUAUAUAUCAAGUACUAGUUGAUGUCCCGCACUUUGCUAUGGAAAUACUGAAAAUCAUCAAUAUUGUUUUUUUUUCAAUGGUUGAGGAUAGAAUAAAAAGGAUAUUAGCUAUUAACAAAAAAAAACUGGUUUGUCAAGCUAUAUUUGAACAUAUAUAAAUGUAAUAGACUAUGUAGGAGAUUGUAGAACAUAUAUAAAUUUAAUAGACUCUAUAGGAGAUUGUAGUUAAAAUAUAAGAUUGUUGGCCAAGAUUUGCAUCACAAGAUGGAAGAACGGAAAAAAGUGAUGAAAAGCCAGGGUUUAUAGUACUAAUCAUAAAACAAACUAAAUGAUACCCUACGCUUUAAUGCAGAAUAUAUGAAUGAAUAUAUGUUGAAAUAUUGUGGAAAUGAUGUGAGAUGUGAUGAUUGGAUAUGCUUGCAUGUUGAUUUGUAGAAUUCAAUAAAUUAUAUAUGAUAUGCCAUUCUUACAUGAUCUUUUCAUAAGUAAUUAUGUUUGCAUGUUGAGCUUUAAACUUGGUGGAUUACAACUAUAUAUAAGUACGAGAGAGAACGGCUGCGCUCAUGGAUACUGAUGAAGAUUGAGACGUGUUGGAAUAAGUUCACUGGAGGUCCCUCAACUUAACGUCGAGUUUGUCUGUGGUCCCAUAACCCCAAAACCAGACAUCUCCACCCCUAGUAUAUAUACA